rnacentral:rRNA from 1 species
AUUGAACGCUGGCGGCAGGCUUAACACAUGCAAGUCGAGCGGAGCGGCGGACGGGUUAGUAAUUCCUAGGAAGCUGCCUGGUAGUGGGGGAUAACGUCCGGAAACGGGCGCUAACACCGCAUACUUUCAGACGAGCCUUGGUCGGAUUAGCUAGUUGUGGGGGUGAAGGCCUACCAAGGCGACGAUCCGUAACUGGUCUGAGAGGAUGAUCAGUCACACUGGAACUGGGACACGGUCCAGGCUCCUGCGGGAGGCAGCAGUGGGGAAUAUUGGACAAUGGGCGGAAGCCUGAUACAGCCAGGCCGCGUGUGUGAAGAAGGUCUUCGGAUUGUAAAGCACUUUAAGGUGGGAGGCGUUACCAGCAGAAUAAGCACCGGCUAACUUCGUGCCAGCAGCCGCGGUAAUUC